GAGAAACUGAGAGACAGAAACAGAGAAAGGCAGAGAAACUGAGAGACAGAAACAAAGUGAGAGAGAGGCAGAGAAACUGAGAUAGAGAAACAUGGAGAGAGAGAGGCAGAGAAACUGAGAGAUAGAAACAUGGAGAGAGAGACAGAGAAACUGAGAGACAGAAACAUCGAGAGAGAGAGAGAGAGGCAGAGAAACUGAGACAGAAACAUGGAGAGAGAGAGGCAGAGAAACUGAGAGACAGAAACAUGGAGUCAGAGAGGCAGAGAAACUGAGAGACAGAACCAGGGAAAGAGAGAGGUAUAGAAAAAGAGAGACAGAAACAGGGAGAGAGAGAGGCAGAGAAACUGAGAGAGAAACAGGGAGAGAGAGGUUGAGAAACUGAGAGACAGAAACAUGUAGAGAGGCAGAGAAACUGAGUGACAGAAACAUGUAUAGAGAGAGGCAGAGAAACUGAGAGAGAAACAGGGACAGAGAGAUGCAAAGAAACUGA
rnacentral:lncRNA from 1 species